GUAAGGAAUAUUGGGCAAUGGAGGCAACUCUGACCCAGCCAUGCCGCGUGAAGGAUGACGGCCCUCGUGGUUGUAAACUUCUUUUGUACGGGAAUAACCCUCCGAACGUGUUCGGAGCUGAAGGUACCGUAAGAUUAAGGAUCGGCUAACUCCGUGCCAGCAGCCGCGGUAAUACGGAGGAUCCAAGCGUUAUCCGGAUUUACUGGGUUUAAAGGGUGCGUAGGCGGAUUGAUAAGUCAGUGGUGAAAGCCUACAGCUUAACUGUAGAACUGCCAUUGAUACUGCCAGUCUGGAGUAUGGUUGAGGUAGCUGGAAUGUGUCAUGUAGCGGUGAAAUGCUUAGAGAUGACACAGAACACCAACGGCGAAGGCAGGUUACCAACCCAUUACUGACGCUGAGGCACGAAAGCGUGGGGAUCAAACAGGAUUAGAUACCCGUGUAGUCC
rnacentral:rRNA from 1 species